rnacentral:rRNA from 1 species
AGAGUUUGAUCCUGGCUCAGGACGAACGCUGGCGGCGCGCCUAACACAUGCAAGUCGAACGAGAGAGAGGGAGCUUGCUUCCUCAAUCGAGUGGCGAACGGGUGAGUAACGCGUGAGGAACCUGCCUCAAAGAGGGGGGACAACAGUUGGAAACGACUGCUAAUACCGCAUAAGCCCACGGCUCGGCAUCGAGCAGAGGGAAAAGGAGCAAUCCGCUUUGAGAUGGCCUCGCGUCCGAUUAGCUAGUUGGUGAGGUAACGGCCCACCAAGGCGACGAUCGGUAGCCGGACUGAGAGGUUGAACGGCCACAUUGGGACUGAGACACGGCCCAGACUCCUACGGGAGGCAGCA